rnacentral:lncRNA from 1 species
ACACUGACACAUGAAUGACAUUUACAUUGUUCAGAAUAAAAUCAAGGAUACUUUCAAAUAAUGAGCCACAGAAAAAUUGCUGGAGCAAAAUUGUCUUCAGAAUGAAACACAGGCUCAUUUGAAAUGAGAGUUUUUUCAUUAAAAAAAUGGUGCAGCUAAUAAUAAAGUCUUUUAACCUGUAUUUUGUUAUAGGUGACAGGUGAACAAAUCACAGGUCUUGAGUUUCUCUACCCUGCCUCUCUUGGUAACGUCAUCUCCAGUACCAUCUGCUACCUACCAGACAAACAGACCAACCACAUAAUGAGGUUGUCUGUUACAGAUUUUAAGUGAGCUACAAACUUCCAUCAAAUACUUAUAGCUGUUGGAUAAAGAUACUAAGAAUAAAAAGAUAAAUGGAAGCAAAAGGCAAUGAUGUUGUUCUCCUAAAAUGUGAGCCAGUUUGCUUCCUGUCAGCAAGUGGAGCUCAGCUCAGCUCUUCCUCUCCCCGAGUUGCUGCAGACAGACCAGCAGCUCCGUGGACUGACUUGAAAUGGUUCGGGCAAAUUAUUACUCCAUUCAUGGAUCACCUUCUGCACUUCUUAUAUACUGAGUUAGACACUUUGGUCAUUUUAAAGUGAAGGAGAAUAAUGAAAUUAUCUUCACAAGGAACACUCUUCCAUUUAAAAAUAGGACAUUUCUUGUCACCAAUGCUGUCCCCAAAUUGUAAAUUAACGUAUUUUAAAAUAUUUUUUUCAGUAUUCCAGGGUAGGAAAUAUGUUAUAUCUGUUUCUUUUUGCAAAUGAUUGCUAUCCUUAUCUAGUUCGUACAGAAAUGGUGUCUGAGUCAUGGGAAAUUUAAGUGGUUUGUCUCAAGAAAAUUUGGUGGUAUGCAUGUUCAUGAUGCACAUAGAGCUGCUGAAUGAAUAAUUGGCCUCUAUUUAAUGUCCUCUGCUUUAAAGCUGUCUAGUACAUUUGCUGUUUAAAAAAAUGUCUUUCAAAGCUGUUAAAUAUGUAACAAAAAGAGGUUGCUCUCCCCAUUCUGACAUGAACAAAGCCAUACAGUGAGCUGCCCGAGGUACUUCCAGCAUGGGAUUAAUUACAAACACAAUCAUAAAUGGAAAUUUUCAAAGUUUUCCAAUUCUUUUUCUUUGCAAUACCAGCUGAUGAGUAUUUGAUAAAAGAAUGCAGUAAAAAUAUUAGUCCAGGAAUUAGCUAUUAAAUAUUAAGCUAAGCAUUUUUCAGAGUAUGGGAUCUGUUGGAUCCCAUAAUUCCACCAUUUACCCCUGAUGGAGUGAGAUCUCUGGCUGUCUUCAGAAGCAAACCGAGCUUAAAACAGGAACGCACUCUCAAGAAGAUGAUCGACUAAGAAUGUGUUUUAUUUUGAUUUGAAAAACUGUCAAUCACAAAUAAAAAAGACCAAAUACUGUUAUUAUAUAUACUA